rnacentral:rRNA from 1 species
AGCGUAACGUGGAGCGGUGAAAGGCUCAGUAACGGGCGAGUUAUUUGUUCUCCUGGGACGGACAACACCGGGAAACUGGUGGGAAAACGUCUAAGUUGCGGUUUUUUAAUCGUGGCGUAAACCAUGUGGUGCAGGAGAGUAAGCUGCCAUCCUAUCAGUUAGUAAGUAGGGUAAGGGCCUACUUAGACGAAGACGGGUACGGGGAAUGAGGGUUUGAUUCCGGAGAGGGAGCCUGAGAGACGGCUACCAGGACCAAGGUCAGCAGCAGGCGCGAAAAUUAUCGAAGCCCGCGUAGGGGCGAUAGUGAGGAGACGUGUAUUACGAAGUGUGUGUAAAGAACGCACUAAUAACUGGAGGUCAAGUCUGGUGCCAGCAUCCGCGGUAAUUCCAGCUCCAGGGGUGUCUAUGAUGAUUGCUGCGAUUAAAAAGUCCGUAUCAAGCUGACUGACUUGCCUGCAAUGUGACUGAUUAAGAGACGAGCAGGGCUAGGAAAGCAGAGAAUUAGGAGCGACCGAGGGCUAGAGUAUUGAAUGGCGAGAGGUGAAAUUUGAUGACCCAUUCAGGAGUGACAAAGGCGAAGGCACUAGUCAAGGGCGAAUCCGAUGAUCAAGGACGUAGGCUAGAGUUUCGAAAACGAUUAGAGACCGGAGUAGUUCUAGCAGUAAACUAUGCCGACGCCGUGGUAUGGUAUUCUGUAUUGCGGAAGAGAAAUCAAGUAAGGCUUUGGGGAGAGUACGCGCGCAAGCGAUAAAUUUAAAGGAAAUUGACGGAGGAACACCACAAGGAGUGGAGUGUGCGGCUUAAUUUGACUCAACGCGGGACAGCUUACCAGGCCCGAUAAUCAUACGAGCGUAGUACGCGAUAGGUUAGAGAGUGGUGCAUGGCUGCUAUCGACAGUUGGGGUGACCUUAGGGUUAAUUCCGGCAAGUACUGAGACCUCUGCAGUUAUGGACAGGUAUUUUUAAGAUACAGGAAGGAAGAGACAAGAGCAGGUCAGUGAUGCCCUUAGAUGGCCUGGGCUGCACGCGCACUACAGUGGUCAUUAUAAGUAGAAGUUAGAUUUUAAAGAUGAUCGAGAGGGACUGGGCUUUGUAAGAGGCCCAAGAACGAGGAAUUGCUAGUAAUCGUAGGCUCAUUAAGAUACGAUGAAUAUGUCCCUGUACCUUGUACACACCGCCCGUCGUUAUCGAAGAUGGAAUUGUGUGCGAACGAGCAACAAGCGAGUGAGCGCAUAGUUCUAGAUGUGAUAAAAGUCGUAACAAGGCAACUGUAGGAGAACCUGUAGUUGGAUCAUACAGAUAUAAUAAAAAGGUAUGUUUGUUUUUAAUUUCCCUGCGCAAGGGAUCGUUUGGUUCUAUGUGCGAUGAAGGUCGGAGCAGUAUCUGAUAAUGUAGAAUGAUUGUAAUAAUUGUUCUAUGUGACUGAAUUGAACAGUGAUGUUCGGGUACUCCUUUGAAUUAAGCAUAUGAGUAAAGGAAGGAAAAGAAACUAACUAGGAUUCUCUUAUUAGUGGCGAAUGAACAGAGAAUAGCCCAAGUGUAAUCAAUAAUAAAUAAUUAUUGAGAUGUCUAGUAUAUUGACGUGAAAACAAUGGAAAGUGUUGCCGUAGAGAGUUAUAGCCUCGUAGCGUCUAAAUUUAAAAAGGGAGUAGUUGUGCUCGGUAAUGCACAAUGAAUAGGUGGUAGUGUCCAUCUAAGGCUAAAUAUGACAUAGAGACCGAUAGUGAAUAAGUAGAGUGAUCGAAUAUGGAAUAGA